rnacentral:rRNA from 1 species
GUAGGUGGCAAGCGUUGUCCGGAAUUAUUGGGGCGUAAAGCGCGCGCAGGCGGUUCUUUAAGUCUGAUGUGAAAGCCCACGGGCUCAACCGUGGAGGGUCAUUGGAAACUGGAGAACUUGAGUACAGAAGAGGAAAGCGGAAUUCCACGUGUAGCGGUGAAAUGCGUAGAGAUGUGGAGGAACACCAGUGGCGAAGGCGGCCUUCUGGUCUGUAACUGACGCUGAGGCGCGAAAGCGUGGGGAGCAAACAGGAUUAGAUACCCUGGUAGUCCACGCCGUAAACGAUGAGUGCUAAGUGUUAGGGGGUUUCCGCCCCUUAGUGCUGCAGCUAACGCAUUAAGCACUCCGCCUGGGGAGUACGGCCGCAAAGGCUG